rnacentral:rRNA from 1 species
UACGUAGGGGGCAAGCGUUGUCCGGAAUCAUUGGGCGUAAAGCGCGCGUAGGCGGUCCGGUAAGUCCGCUGUGAAAGUCGGGGGCUCAACCCUCGGAUGCCGGUGGAUACUGUCGGGCUUGAGUGCGGAAGAGGCGAGUGGAAUUCCUGGUGUAGCGGUGAAAUGCGCAGAUAUCAGGAGGAACACCAAUUGCGAAGGCAGCUCGCUGGGACGUAACUGACGCUGAGACGCGAAAGCCAGGGGAGCGAACGGG